UACGUAGGGGGCAAGCGUUGUCCGGAUUUAUUGGGCGUAAAGAGCGUGUAGGCGGCCAGACAGGUCCGUUGUGAAAACUCCAGGCUCAACCUCGAGACGCCGAUGGAAACCGUCUGGCUAGAGUCCGGAAGAGGAGAGUGGAAUUCCUGGUGUAGCGGUGAAAUGCGCAGAUAUCAGGAAGAACACCCGUGGCUAAGGCGGCUCUCUAGUACGGUACUGACGCUGAGACGCGAAAGCGUGGGGAGCGAACAGG
rnacentral:rRNA from 1 species